rnacentral:lncRNA from 1 species
CUGACCUUAGUCCAAGUGGUCGGGCUAGGUGAAACAACACAAGAAGGGGUCGGGUGAAGCAAACCACUCAGGAAGAGGGUCGGGCAAAACGAACCGCACAAAAAGGGUCGGGCAAGGAGGAGAAUCGCCUCGAGGGGUCGGGCGCAUCUGACCUCGCGACCCGGGGUUGGCCAAACUUGGAUAGACCCACAGAAAACGGGUGUGUGUGGUCACAGCACAAACUCACAUAGUUUGGCAUCCCAAAC